UACGUAGGGUGCAAACGUUAAUCGGAAUUACUGGGCGUAAAGCGUGCGCAGGCGGUUCGCUAAGACAGAUGUGAAAUCCCCGGGCUCAACCUGGGAACUGCAUUUGUGACUGCACGGCUGGAGUGCGGCAGAGGGGGAUGGAAUUCCGCGUGUAGCAGUGAAAUGCGUAGAUAUGCGGAGGAACACCGAUGGCGAAGGCAAUCCCCUGGGCCUGCACUGACGCUCAUGCACGAAAGCGUGGGGAGCAAACAGG
rnacentral:rRNA from 1 species